CCUACGGGUGGCUGCAGUCGAGAAUCUUCGGCAAUGGGCGCAAGCCUGACCGAGCGACGCCGCGUGCGGGAUGAAGGCCCUUGGGUUGUAAACCGCUGUCAGAGGGGAUGAAAUGCGGGUGGGUUCUCCCAUCCGUUUGACAUAGCCUCAGAGGAAGCACGGGCUAAGUUCGUGCCAGCAGCCGCGGUAAUACGAACUGUGCAAACGUUAUUCGGAAUCACUGGGCUUAAAGGGUGCGUAGGCGGCCAAAUAAGUAGGGUGUGAAAGCCUCCGGCUUAACCGGAGAAUGGCGCUCUAAACUGUUUGGCUGGAGUGAGAUAGGGGUGUGUGGAACUUCCGGUGGAGCGGUGAAAUGUGUUGAUAUCGGAAGGAACGCCGGUGGCGAAAGCGACACACUGGAUCUCAACUGACGCUGAGGCACGAAAGCCAGGGGAGCAAACGGGAUUAGAUACCCUAGUAGUC
rnacentral:rRNA from 1 species